GAAGGCCUCUCUUUGCCAGGAAAGUUCUGUAGAGGAAACUAUCACUGUAAAAACAUGUGUGGUGCAUCCCCAGUGUGACCUGGGGGGUAUUCUGCAGGUAGCACCUCUGGGGUGGAGAGGGAGCCUGCUCAGUAAAACACUUGUGGAUGUGAUUCUCCAAGCAUGUAUGUGCUAGAUUACUAACACAUUUAAAAUGUGUGCUUGGGAUCUUUACAUGGAUGGUUACCUCCUCCCCCCGUCAUAAAAUGCCAUUAGACCAAUAUUGUGCUUUAUGUAAGACAUUGAAUGAUCGCGUUACCUGUGUUUUUAUGAGGAGUAACAGGGGGGAGGAAAGCAAGACCGGAGUCUUGCACCUUCUACUAUGUGUCCCGCUGUUCUUUUAAUAACUCAUGCAUUGUGUUGGUACAGAAAGCGGCUCCUAGUGAGAAGUAACAAGCUGAAAUGGGAUAGAAAAUAGAGAAGCCAGGAGAUUCUAAUCCUUAAAGGCACACUGAAGGUAAGGGUGUGUACAGCAGCAUGAAUAGGAGCAGCAGUUAUAUACCCAAGCACCUCUGCAUCGCACACAAAUAUAGCAUGAAGAAGUAGCAGUAAGAAGCUACUUGGAAGAAAAAUGCAGUUGUUCAAUAGGGUAAAGUUUUAAGAAUGCAAGAUUUUUCUUCUUGCUUUGAUUAGUUUUAAAUUCCGUGGUUUUGUGUUUGAGGAAAAGGAAAAUAUUUACUUGUAUAAUUAUAAAGAUUUUUAUGAUUAUUUUUUUCUCAACACUGUAAGUUUUGCUUCUUUGGAGCCUAAAGUACUUAGAAAUUUUUCUGCCUUCAUUGUCCAGUUGCAAAUAACUCAGAAUAUGGCAUGUGAGUUGUGGAGGUGUGGUUUAUGGCCUGAGUAAAAACAGUAUUUGAGUAUAGGCAUAAUUUCAGGAAUGUGGCUUACUUAGUUUAAAUUCAGCAAAAAUGUAUUUGUACAAGUGCAGCACUCAGUUAGAAAGGUGAGAUUUCAAUGCAGCCAAAGUCCCAUUUUUGAAGGUAGUGCAUAUAGUGCCCUGUUGACCUGCAGGGUGAUUCAGGUGUCUAAGUCACUGUAAUUAAAGGGAAAAAUAGAAAAAAACCUGUUUUUCUAAGUUGUUGCAUCGUUAAACAUUGUCUGUUUUGAAGGCCUGCAGGGACUGUGGUGAGUGUAAGAGGUGUCUUCCAGAAGCUCCAUAGACUGCAGGGUUUAUGUGGAUUCCUGUUUAAAGAAUGGUAAUGAGGACAUUUUAAGUGGUUAACAGUAGCAGAAACUGGCUUCUCAAAGUCCUUGUAUAGUUUUUCUUUUCUUUCUUAGCAGCAGGGAUGUUGGUCAGGUUGGACCUCAGGAGGCCACCUCCAUGCGCAGGGUUGGUCCUAGUAGCAGAUCAGGUCAGCCAUAGUGUUUUUCCAGUUGAGGCUUGAAAACCUUCAUAAAUGGAGGUACCAAAACCUAUCUGUGCAUCUUUUGGUUUCUUUUAGUGUGUUGUCUUUCUCUGAUUAUAUUUCAGUUUGUGUUAUGUUGCUGGUAAGUAUAUCUGUGUUCAUUUUAUGGUGCUUUCUGGUCUUUUUUUCCUGACUUGAUGUAGUAGAUCGAUCAUAUGAAUAUAUAUAGGAUCUUUGUUUAUAGUUUACAUGAAAAGGAUGGCUUUAACCUAGUGGAGCUGAUCCUUCAUGACUCCCUUUGUUAACAGGGAGAGGCUAGCUCCUGCAGAAAGUAUUGCAGAGAAAGAACUUCUGCCUUACUAUUGACUGUAAUAGAGACAACUUAUCUCACAUGGCUAAAGUUGCCCAUGUGAGAGCAGAGCUUAAGACACAGGAGCUUCAGCUUUGGAGAGCAAUGAGUGGCGUGUUUCUGCGGAGCUGUGGACUUCUUUUAUUGACUCAAACACACAGUUUAAAGAAAAUGGGGAUGGGUGUGUGUGGCCAAAUGAAAGUAUAUUGUUUUUUAUAAAGUGUCACCUGCAACGUGCUUUUAAAUAAACCCCUAUAUAACCAUGUA